GAUGAAGAACGCAGCGAAAUGCGAAAAGUAAUGUGAAUUGCAGAAUUCAGUGAACCAUCGAAUCUUUGAACGCACAUUGCGCCCGCUGGAACUCCGGCGGGCACGCCUGUCCGAGCGUCAUUUCAACCCUCAGGCCCCCCUUCGCGGGCGGGCCUGGUGUUGGGGCCCGGCCGCUACCCUGCGGCCGUCCCCUAAAUUCAGUGGCGGCCUCGCCGUGAUCCCUUGCGUAGUAAUGCACCUCGCACCGGAGAGCGCCGUGGCCACGCCGUAAAACCCCCAAUUUUCAAUGGUUGACCUCGGAUCAGGUUGGAAUACCCGCUGAACUUAAGCAUAUCAAUAAGCGGAGGA
rnacentral:misc_RNA from 1 species